GAUGAACGCUGGCGGCGUGCUUAACACAUGCAAGUCGAACGGAAAGGCCUCUGCUUGCAGGGGUACUCGAGUGGCGAACGGGUGAGUAACACGUGGGUGAUCUGCCCUGCACUUCGGGAUAAGCCUGGGAAACUGGGUCUAAUACCGGAUAGGACAAUGGUUUGGAUGCUGUUGUGGAAAGUUUUUCGGUGUGGGAUGAGCUCGCGGCCUAUCAGCUUGUUGGUGGGGUAAUGGCCUACCAAGGCGUCGACGGGUAGCCGGCCUGAGAGGGUGUACGGCCACAUUGGGACAGAGAGACGGCGCAGACUCCUACGGGAGGCAGAGGUGGGGAAUAUUGCACAAUGUGCGCGAGCCUGAUGCAGCGACGCGGCGUGGGGGAUGACGGCCUUCGGGUUGUAAACUCCUUUCUCUAGGGACGAGGCGUUUUUGUGACGGUACCUGGAGAAGAAGCACCGGCUAACUACGUG
rnacentral:rRNA from 1 species